AUUGAACGCUGGCGGCAGGCCUAACACAUGCAAGUCGAGCGGAUGAAGGGAGCUUGCUCCUGGAUUCAGCGGCGGACGGGUGAGUAAUGCCUAGGAAUCUGCCUGGUAGUGGGGGAUAACGUCCGGAAACGGGCGCUAAUACCGCAUACGUCCUGAGGGAGAAAGUGGGGGAUCUUCGGACCUCACGCUAUCAGAUGAGCCUAGGUCGGAUUAGCUAGUUGGUGGGGUAAAGGCCUACCAAGGCGACGAUCCGUAACUGGUCUGAGAGGGUGAUCAGUCACACUGGAACUGAGACACGGUCCAGACUCCUACGGGAGGCAGCAGUGGGGAAUAUUGGACAAUGGGCGAAAGCCUGAUCCAGCCAUGCCGCGUGUGUGAAGAAGGUCUACGGAUUGUAAAGCACUUUAAGUUGGGAGGAAGGGCAGUAAGUUAAUACCUUGCUGUUUUGACGUUACCAACAGAAUAAGCACCGGCUAACUUCGUG
rnacentral:rRNA from 1 species